rnacentral:rRNA from 1 species
UACGUAGGGUGCAAGCGUUAAUCGGAAUUACUGGGCGUAAAGCGUGCGCAGGCGGUUUUGUAAGACAGUGGUGAAUCCCCGGGCUCAACCUGGGAACUGCCAUUGUGACUGCAAGGCUAGAGUGCGGCAGAGGGGGAUGGAACUCCGCGUGUAGCAGUGAAAUGCGUAGAUAUGCGGAGGACACCGAUGGCGAAGGCAAUCCCUGGGCUGCACUGACGCUCAUGCACGAAAGCGUGGGGAGCAA